AGAAGUUGUCUAAAACACGUCAACAGUUCAAGGUCCUUUUUCAAGAGAGACUCUAAUCAAUAAUAGAAGUUCUCAAUUAGCAACAAGACUUGGGCUUUAGGUGCUUUUGUCAGUUGCCUUCAAGUUUCACCUGUCUCCUUGUAGUUACUGUUUCAUUCUUUGUGCAGUCUGUGAAAAGUCUUUGUACGUUUGAGGAAAAGGAACAGGAAUUCCUUGAAAAAUCCAUCAGUACUUUCUCCUCCUGACUAGACAACUUGAUUGACCAGCAUUGUGGCUGAAUGCUUGGGUCAAAAGUUUGCGCUGGAAAUUAAGCACAGAUUUAAAAUUCACUACCAAUCUUUCCGUUACAUUUGCUUUGUUUUCUUUUUCACCUUUAUAUUUGUCCAACAUGUUUUGACUCUUCUAAAAAUGUUCAUUAAACCACAAACUGACCUUAAUAUUCUCUUAGAAGAUCACUUUUCCCUAAAAAGAUAGGAUAAACUGCUGCAAGAUACUGUUAUGCCAAAAGUGUAAAUGGCUGCUAUUAAGCAGAAAAUUACAGACCUUGUUACAGCUUAUGGAUAUUCUAAACUCCCUUCCUUCAGGCUAGGUGGAAAGAGCAAUUAAAUAUUCCUUUAUGUAACAAUAACUGGAAAGAAUAGGAAGUCACCUAUGAAGUUUGGGCAGGGGGCACGGCUGGCUGAAUCUGCUUCUAAAUCACACAAGUGUGAUGUGUGCUUAUGUGUGAUCAAAACCAAGCAGCGGGUAAGAGAAGCAUUCACAUGCAUGGCUGUGCACUGAAGAACCUUUAGUCCUUGCUGCUCACCUUUAAUAUUAAAGUGAAGGAGGCCGUGGUUCCACGCUCAGUAGUGCAAAUCUAACCCAGGUUCACAGUAUCUCAUGUAGAGUUUCCUGCUACUGCCUAAGGCAGGAAUUUCCCUCAAACAAGAUGAGAGUCUGUCUGAAUGUCACAGAAGAUCUCUCGUACUUGAUGACUGUUAUCCUAGAUCAUCACCUUCUGGAAAUGGAGCAGAUCAAGAUGUUUCUAAAGAGCAGCAAGAGGCACCUAAAAUCACUCUUAGGUACAGUGAUUAUGCUAGUCUUCGCGCUCCUGUCUCUGCAAUCAGAAGGGUGGAUGAGAUUCAUCCGAGGGUGCUUAGAGAGCCGGCUGAUGGCAUAGCAAAGUUGCCUUGACUGCUUUGCUAAAGCCAACGGAUCUUUUCAGCAGCCAUUGGAAGAUGCCCGGAACACAAGGAGGGUGCUCCAGGAGUGAAGGGGGAGAGCAAGCCCAUGAAUGGACCCCUUUGAUCAAAAGUUCUCUGCAGCUGUGAAUGUUUUGGCUCUCUCCAUGUAUGCCAAAACCUAUCUUAAAACAGUAGCAUGGCAGGCAUGACGAAAAUGUGUUCUGUUCAGCCUGGGUCCUGAGUCGGUGAGAGCAGGGGGAACAGGCAAGGGUGUUUGACCAGACUUCUGGGUUGUGUUCCAGAGCGCAAGGAAAAUGAGAGAUUGAGCAAGGAGU
rnacentral:lncRNA from 1 species